GGUAAUAUGGCCGAGAAUAGGCAGCGGGCUGUAGAUCCGCGCACAGGGCAAGACACCCUUGCUUACCA
rnacentral:tRNA from 1 species